CCUUGUGAAAAGGAAGGGUACAUAAUUUGUGCAGUCAGGAACUGGUGAAGCUGGGGUAUCAGAAAGUGACUGCAUCAUAGGAUUUAUUUGCUGUCAUUAGUCUGCUGAAGCUGAAAGCAUUAGACCCGAACAUAGCACUUGAUCAAAUUGCUUCUCUAGCUGCAUGGGAUUUUUGCAUCUGCUGUUGUAUCCAAGUAAGCAACAAGCUUCAUUAAAGUGAUUGUUAGGCUGCCGACAGCUGUUGUUCGAUUCUCUGUGUUCCCUUAAGUAGUGAUUUUUUCUUAAUCAUGAUUAGUUAGGGAGGUUGUAUUCUAGUAAUCUGUGCAUUAUUUUCUAUUUUGGAACAUGCGUACACACCCCCUAGUAGCUUCAAAGAGAAAUCAAGUUGUGCAUUCUCAAUGUGUCUCCCUCUCUUCGUCUUACUAUAGAAUUCUGAAGGACAACACUAAAUCCUUGGCUUUUGGUUAUUUUGAGACUUAACUGCUAUGUCAUACUUUUUCAGGAUUUCAAAGACAAAAUACCCAUGCUACAGGUGAAAUCUGGUCAAAUGGAUUUUGUCUGAACCAACAGAUCGUCUCUGCUGAGCCUUCUGCAGCACAUUGCAUGCAUAUAUCUUCUGUUCAGCAAUAAUAACUAGAUGACUCCAGCUACUUGGAAGUCUUCAAGCCAGUCAUAAUCCUUAAUGAGGUGUUACAACUGCAGUCAAUAUGACCUCGACCUUUGCUUUUGCAGAGAAAGGACAGUUGCUUACCAGAUGUUUAUAAAUUGGUUCUUUCGUACAACCAAUUGGAUAUUCUUGUGUUGUGUGAAUUCCUUUUUACCAAAAGUUAUGAGGAACCUCAGAGGUUUUGGGCCCUCAAGGAGGAAUUCGAGAAGUCCUCAGGGCUUUCGUCUAUUGGUAAGAGCACAACGCAUGAUGUGUGGAUUAGGUGCAUGUCACAAGUUUGAACUCUGCCGCAGACAGAAUCCUGGUAUUUAAGUGGAGAAGGGUUAAGGUACAGGUCCAUUAUCCACCGAACUUCAGACUGUGCACCAGUUGGCUCUCAAAAAAUUUCAGUUGUCAACGAAAAUAGAAGAGAUUUUGG
rnacentral:lncRNA from 1 species